rnacentral:ncRNA from 1 species
GGUAGUAGCAAAUAUUCAAAUGAGAACUUUGAAGGGUGAAGUGGAGAAGGGUUCCAUAUGAACAGCAGUUGAACAUGGGUCAUUCCACACUUCAAACAGAAUCUUACUGUCUUCUAGGAACUGCCUCCAAGUCAGCAAUGCCC